GAUGCGUACCGAUAAAACAUAGUUAUUCAGAAGACAGAGGAGGACAGAGAUCUGCACCAAUAGACAAUAGGACUGUCCACAUUAGAACGGAGAAGAUGAAGAAGACUGAAGUGUUGUUUCAGAAUGCCACAUUCGUUUAGUUGUCAAAGCAAAUUUUGAAAGUGUUACACAACUGUUGCUUUCAUCGACGAAAUCUGCCCGUGCCAACUUGUCUUCUGUCCGUAAAGCUACAGAAAGGGAGACCAACACAGCUUUUGUAGGAGGCCGGUGAUUUACCCUCAUUCCAGGGUUCCGGUGCUGAACUGCUGGUGUAUGCCAUGACAUCGAAAAGGUCAUUUUUAUCUCUGAUGGGAUAUAUGCUCUUGACCUCACUACCGACGCGGAUUUCCUCUUGUAAAGAUAUAGUUACACCACCAAGAAUACCGAAUAACGGUAAGGUUUUUUCACGUAAAAAAGACGAAAUUAUCCAACAUGGCAAACGAGAGAUUUUUGUCGAAGGGACAUCUGUAUCGCAUGCGACAAAAGUGUAUCUUUUGCGAUGGUAAUUUUAGGUACUCCGAAAACAAUCGUUCGGCCUUGCUGAGACCUGCGAUAGAUAAGUAACUGGUUUAACCCGCACAUAAGCAAUUUUUGUCCCACAACCCAUCGUUAAUAAUCGUAAGUUGCAGGGAUAAAAUAUCUUGUAUCCGGGUCGCUUUAAGAUUUCGUGCUGUUUUUUUUCUUGAAUAAAGGUCUCCCCUAUCACUGUACAUUGACUCAGAAAAAAUUAUACAGGUUAACACUAAUGUGGAUCAGCUCGCCGGCUUCUUUUCUAAAAUCAUGAUGAUCGUUGGUCCGGGGUCCGGGGUAUAGAAGGAAUUAUGAGCGUUACAGGAGCCGAUUCAGGAGUUAUUGCAGCAGACACGCCGUCGGGUGAGGACUCCGUACCUGAUUUACUCCUAAAUUUUGGUCUGAUGUUCAGUAAUGACACGACCAAAUUUUGACUGACUGCUGUCUUUUUUUUGCCAGAUCUGAAAUCAUUGCCUUAGGUCACCCGGCUGCAGAGCUGCGCACAAAGUCCGGUCUGUUCUUCAGCACUUAGUGCGAAGUAAAUUGCACAUCCCUUACCGUUGUUCAUUCUUUUGCCUGCUGCAGUGUAUCGACUUUACUACCUGAAUGGCAGCGAUGCCAUGGUGAAAAAUGGACAGUAUGUAUACUCUACAUCAUUUGGUCAUGCUCUUCGAAUGACUGGCGGCAAACAUGAAAACAUCAAUAUCAAACAACGCUUCACGUCAGGGUUACAUCCUAAGCCCUACACUAUCGCUUUUUACGUUAAGGUCAAAUGUAGGCGCAAGCGGCAGUACAUUCUUGAUGAAAUUGAGAAAGGCUACAGGCUCUCCAUUUACCUUGUAUUCAGAGCUCUAGGAGUAGCACACUACGUUCGGAAAAGGGCAUAUUUUACGCAUGCGAAAAUUUCUUGCUUUGACAAACAGGAAGGGUGGCACCUAUUGGCAAUAAUUAUCCGCUACAAAAAAGGCGGUAGGUCAUAUAGGGCGAUGGUGUUUUGGGAUGGCUGGGACGUUACUCAAGACACAAAGCUUGGCACUGUCAAUGGGAGAUGGUGGGGAAAUCGACAUUAUCCUUUUCAUCUUGGAGCUGAAGCAUUUGGAAAGCACAAUUGGAAGUUCCAAGGAAAGAUGGCGAGGCUUAUGCUAUUUAAAUGUAUUCUAUCGCAGAAAUUUAUCUUCGAAAAUCUUGGUAAGCACGUAUUUUUAUGCGGCAAACUAAUACAUUUAGCCACCGUGUUCUUGAUAUACUCAUAUAACUUUAAACACAGGCUGUUUGUUUUCUAAAUAAUUCGAUACAGCAUAUCUUGAUAAUUAAGUUACGUGGUAACACCAAGAACGAAUUAAAGCUAUAUAAGGUACAUUGUACUCGCGGUUUUAGUGAGACAACCAAUAACUCCAGUUCAGUAUCAAUUCCUAAAAUUGAUAUCAUCGAAUGCACACAUAAUGUUUUCCAGUGAUUUGUAAACCGAAUCCAGGGCGUCCUGGGAAAUAUUGCGCCAUAGAGUAUAGAUCAAAGAUCCACCAGGCUGCCAGGGCAACUUCCGAAGAAACCAACGUCUGUGGGGGAAUUAUGUACACGUACUACCAAAGAUCGAAAUGCUGCAUAAACAUAUGAACACGUGAUUUACGGAAUGCUCCAGGAGAUUGCUUUCGAUGUGUACGUCAUGUGUGUGAUCCGAGUAAUAAUCAUUAUUAUAUGGGAAACUAUGGGAGGAUGCGUCACUGUUUUUUUCAACGUAUGUUUAAAGGAAUCUUGCAAAAAAAGUAAUCUGCUUCAGGAAAACUAAACAUUCAUCCCAUGCCCGUAUUCAUUACAUGUUUAAUCCAGGGCACCAACACAUUUUUUUGUCGGAUUCAAACAAAAGUAUCUAACAACACCAACCAAAUGUGGCGCAGGUGUAGCCUCCAACAGUUUUCGAAGCACAACGGACGAUUCAUGAUAGUCACAACGAUAUUGAUUGCGUGUUCGAAGAUGAAAAAGACGGGGGAAAUUGGACUCAAGCGGCGAUCAUUCCAGCCAUGAGGUUAUAAAUGCCAGAAAGCACAGGGUGCGAAUCUGGACUCUCAUUGUUGAGACAGUGUUGAUGCCGAAAUCGGACUACUUACCUUCAUGUGCACAUGCACAUGGAUUAACUGAGUUUACCUACAUAAAGCUUAUUCCGACGCAACCGUAC